rnacentral:ncRNA from 1 species
GCAUGUUAGUCGGGGAGCCUUGGGCUGAGACUGCGAGAUACAAAGUACAUCUCUUUGUAUUGUUGAGCGGGACCCGUUGAACCUGAUCCAGUUAACACUGGCGGAGGGAACUAACAGCAGUGCCCU